rnacentral:misc_RNA from 1 species
GAACACUUAAGUUCGUGUUUUCAAGGAAAGCAACAAAGGAUGAUAUGUUCUUUCACUGAAAAGCUUGCUCGACUUGUCUUUAUAAGAGUCUGAUUAUUGCCUCUCCAAAACCCAAAGAGGAUCACAGAAUUCUACAACCUUGAAACUAGUCAAAUGACAAGGGGCAAGUGUACCUUCGAUUUUGAUGAACAAAUUCAAACUAACAAUGUGGUGUACCGAGUUUAACUCGACAUUGGAUGAUUAUAAACAUACUCAAUAGCCUGUUCGCAUGACUCUAUCCUCACAGCUUCCUUGUCUGGAAUCUCCAGUUUGAACUCUUCCUCCAGAGCCAUUACAAUCUCUACCGUAUCUAAGCUGUCUAAGCCCAAAUCCUUCUCAAAGUGGACUUCAGGGGUCACCUUGGAAGGGUCGACUUUAGGGAAGCACUUGACGACAUCAAGGACUCUCUUGAUGACUUCAUCUUUGGUGAUAUGGUCAUCGUGCGACGACAUCAAUCUGACAGCGGUUAGCCUCAAUCCAUUUGCCGAUACAGCUUGGGUUGCCGGAAUCCGGAUGUGUCGGAGUAUAGCAGAUCUCAACGCCGACGCCAUUGUUGUUCUCGUAUUCUUUGUUAUCCCUCUUCUGUUUAGCUUGUUGCGACUGGAAAAAAGUGUUGAAUUAGACUGAGGUUUGAGGAUUAAUUUGGUAUUUUACAUCGUGAUCCCUUGGACCGGAAUAGUGAGCCCCCCGGUUCACA